UACGUAGGUGGCAAGCGUUGUCCGGAUUUACUGGGCGUAAAGGGCGCGUAGGCGGCUUUACAAGUCAAAGGUGAAAUCCCUCGGCUCAACUGAGGAACUGCCUUUGAAACUGUAAGGCUUGAGGCCGGGAGGGGUAGCGGAAUUCCCAGUGUAGCGGUGAAAUGCGUAGAUAUUGGGAGGAACACCAGUGGCGAAGGCGGCUACCUGGACCGGUUCUGACGCUGAUGCGCGAAAGCGUGGGUAGCAAACAGG
rnacentral:rRNA from 1 species